rnacentral:rRNA from 2 species
UAGGGAAUCUUCCACAAUGGACGAAAGUCUGAUGGAGCAACGCCGCGUGAGUGAAGAAGGAUUUCGGUUCGUAAAACUCUGUUGCAAGGGAAGAACAAGUAGCGUAGUAACUGGCGCUACCUUGACGGUACCUUGUUAGAAAGCCACGGCUAACUACGUGCCAGCAGCCGCGGUAAUACGUAGGUGGCAAGCGUUGUCCGGAAUUAUUGGGCGUAAAGCGCGCGCAGGUGGUUCCUUAAGUCUGAUGUGAAAGCCCCCGGCUCAACCGGGGAGGGUCAUUGGAAACUGGGGAACUUGAGUGCAGAAGAGGAUAGUGGAAUUCCAAGUGUAGCGGUGAAAUGCGUAGAGAUUUGGAGGAACACCAGUGGCGAAGGCGACUGUCUGGUCUGUAACUGACACUGAGGCGCGAAAGCGUGGGGAGCAAACAGG